rnacentral:rRNA from 1 species
UACGUAGGGGGCUAGCGUUGUCCGGAUUUAUUGGGCGUAAAGAGCGUGUAGGCGGCCAGGUAGGUCUGCUGUGAAAACUCGAGGCUCAACCUCGAGACGUCGGCGGAAACCAUCUGGCUAGAGUCCGGAAGAGGAGAGUGGAAUUCCUGGUGUAGCGGUGAAAUGCGCAGAUAUCAGGAAGAACACCCGUGGCGAAGGCGGCUCUCUGGGACGGUACUGACGCUGAGGCGCGAAAGCCAGGGAGGGACGCAAACGGG